rnacentral:snRNA from 1 species
AGAUGUGAGGGCAAUCUGGCUGCAACAUCUGUCACCCCAUUGAUUGUCAGGGUUGAUUCGGCUGAUCUGGCUGGCUAGGCGGGUGUCCCCUUCCUCCCUCACCCUUCCACAUGCUUCCCUCCCGAAGCUAUGUGCUCGGUGGAAGAAGACGACCAUCCCUGACAGAGGAAGACUGUUCUUCUUGCAAGGGUAUACGAGUAGCUGUGCUCCCCUGCUAGACCCUCCACACAAGCUCUCAAGUCCAAAAUUAGAGUCAGUCCUCUCAAAUGCUGGGGCUGCUUUUUCAGCUAAGUUUAUGUGAUAUUCUAAAUCCUU